GGAAACGCGGGCCUGGGCGCCUCCCAAGUCAGUCUCGGCUUACGGUCCGGUCCGGUGUAACGUGCCGAGGUCGUGCGCCGCCGCACCUGGAAACGGGCAUUUCUUCAGCGCGCACCGUCAAGCGCCUACUGUGCGCAAGAAACGCGAGGGCGCCGGGCCCGGGCCAGGGGGCCAGCGCUUGGUGGGCACUUGGAACAGAGCUCCCUAGCUGGAGCCUGUGUGCGCUGGGCCAGCUAAUGGAGCCCUCCCGCGUGUAGAGGUUGGAGGGCCGUGCGUGCACCUGUUGUGCCCGCUCAUACUGUGCGCCUCGGAGGAGAAACGCCUGACCCCCGGGAACUGCUGUCCUCCCGAGGGAGAGGACACCAAACUGAUGAGAAUGACACUAGGAUGCACUAUGAGAUUUGGAUUCCUCUGGCUGUGUGUGUGGAACGAACUCAGGGACCGUGCUGAGGCAGGAGCCCAGGGAGGAGGUGACGGCAGAAGGCCAGAGAGAAAAACAGUAGCUUGACAGUGGUGAAACCUGGCAGGCAUCACCUUAACCAUGAGAUCAACAUUAGCAUCAGCAGACAGGGGACAAACAGCUCUCAAGUGCCUCCUGAUGGGAAUCGUCGAGGAGGACACAACACAAAGGCGUGGAGGAAACGUCAGACAGACCCACUGGAGGACAUUCUACGAAGGAACUGGCCUAAACUCUUCAAAAGUUUCAAGGUCAUGAAUGAGAAAGAAAGACUGAGGAACUGCUCCCAACUAAAGGAGACCAGGGCUGCUACGUGCAGACUUGGUUGCAGACACCAGUACCCCUCACCCCAACCACUUCAGCAUUAGCUCGAGCACAAGCAAAGGUGUGGAGGCAGGACCAUGCAGUGUAUGGCUUUCUAAACUCAAACAAAUAAUAAGGUAAUACCUACUCCUGGCCAACAUUUUAAAGUUAGAAGAGGGUGUAGGUCUUGCUCCCACCUCCCACCUCAUACCUCAGGCCCCCAGUCCUUCUCCUGUGGUAGACUUACUGUAGGGGCUC